rnacentral:sRNA from 1 species
AGCAUUACUCCCCAGCCCCCAUGUACUCUCAGACCUUUCACAUCCUGGUGCUGGGCUGACGUCCCUCAGCUCCCAGGCCCUACUGAGGCCUCCCCCGGCUCCCUGCAGGCUUCGUGAGCAACCUGCGCACCUUUCUGUGGCUCCGGGUGCAGCAGUUCACGUCUCAGCGGGUGGAGCUGCGCGUCUUCUCCCACCUGCACGAGCUCUCACUGCGCUGGCACCUGGGGCGCCGCACAGGGGAGGUGCUGCGGAUCGCGGAUCGUGGCACAUCCAGUGUCACAGGGCUGCUCAGCUACCUGGUGUUCAAUGUCAUCCCCACGCUGGCCGACAUCAUCAUUGGCAUCAUCUACUUCAGCAUGUUCUUCAACGCCUGGUUUGGCCUCAUUGUGUUCCUGUGCAUGAGUCUUUACCUCACCCUGACCAUUGUGGUCACUGAGUGGAGAGCCAAGUUUCGCCGCGCUAUGAACACACAGGAGAACGCUACCCGGGCACGAGCAGUAGACUCUCUGCUAAACUUCGAGACGGUGAAGUAUUACAACGCCGAGAGUUAUGAAGUGGAACGCUAUCGAG